rnacentral:misc_RNA from 1 species
GUAUAUAAGGGAGUUGUUCCCUUUUAUUUUCGGUAGAUAGAGAAUGUGUAAAAGAGAGUGAGUUUGCGGGAGAGGCAACUUGAGAGUGUUUUCUUUCCUUUGGGCAAUUGUAAAGCUUGUUGUAAAGCAAUAAAAGAAGUAGAUCACUACUUCGUGAAUCUCCUCCUUCCUACCUUUCUUUAAGCUUGCCGAAUGUAUGGUUAAUGGUUGUUGAUGCAUGGUUGUGAUUGUGGCUUGCUUGGUGCGCAUUGGUGCUUGUGUUCUUUGCCUUGCGUGAGACUUGUUGGGUUUCUCUUGUUGCUUGCGUGAACUUGGUAGCUUGGUGUUGAGUUCGACCAUUGCAACUCUUGUUGUGGGUUGGUGUGUUGCCGUGGAACACUUUGAAGACUUGGUGUUGCCGUGGGACUCUUGCUUGCUACUGGUUAUUGAGGUAAGAAUACUUGCUUGUUACUUGGGUUGGUUUCGGCCAUUGUGACACUCAUGAGUUUGGGUUGUUUGAUGCGCACCUUAUUGGGCUUGCUUUGUGUGGAACUUGUUGCUUGCGGGUUGUGAGGGUACUUGCUUGCUAUAACUUGUGUUGUUAAGUUGAGUUUCGGCCAUUGUGUAGUUCCUUGUUGGAAUGGUUGCCGUGGGACACUUGUGAGAUGGGGUUAUUUAACUUAGUUGCCGUAAGCACCAUUGUUACUUGUGAUUGAGGUUUCGGCUAUUGUUAAGGUUGAG